rnacentral:rRNA from 1 species
UUAAGCGACUAAGCGUACACGGUGGAUGCCCUGGCAGUCAGAGGCGAUGAAGGACGUGCUAAUCUGCGAUAAGCGUCGGUAAGGUGAUAUGAACCGUUAUAACCGGCGAUUUCCGAAUGGGGAAACCCAGUGUGUUUCGACACACUAUCAUUAACUGAAUCCAUAGGUUAAUGAGGCGAACCGGGGGAACUGAAACAUCUAAGUACCCCGAGGAAAAGAAAUCAACCGAGAUUCCCCCAGUAGCGGCGAGCGAACGGGGAGCAGCCCAGAGCCUGAAUCAGUAUGUGUGUUAGUGGAAGCGUCUGGAAAGGCGCGCGAUACAGGGUGACAGCCCCGUACACAAAAAUGCACAUGCUGUGAGCUCGAUGAGUAGGGCGGGACACGUGGUAUCCUGUCUGAAUAUGGGGGGACCAUCCUCCAAGGCUAAAUACUCCUGACUGACCGAUAGUGAACCAGUACCGUGAGGGAAAGGCGAAAAGAACCCCGGCGAGGGGAGUGAAAAAGAACCUGAAACCGUGUACGUACAAGCAGUGGGAGCACGCUUAGGCGUGUGACUGCGUACCUUUUGUAUAAUGGGUCAGCGACUUAUAUUCUGUAGCAAGGUUAACCGAAUAGGGGAGCCGAAGGGAAACCGAGUCUUAACUGGGCGUUAAGUUGCAGGGUAUAGACCCGAAACCCGGUGAUCUAGCCAUGGGCAGGUUGAAGGUUGGGUAACACUAACUGGAGGACCGAACCGACUAAUGUUGAAAAAUUAGCGGAUGACUUGUGGCUGGGGGUGAAAGGCCAAUCAAACCGGGAGAUAGCUGGUUCUCCCCGAAAGCUAUUUAGGUAGCGCCUCGUGAAUUCAUCUCCGGGGGUAGAGCACUGUUUCGGCAAGGGGGUCAUCCCGACUUACCAACCCGAUGCAAACUGCGAAUACCGGAGAAUGUUAUCACGGGAGACACACGGCGGGUGCUAACGUCCGUCGUGAAGAGGGAAACAACCCAGACCGCCAGCUAAGGUCCCAAAGUCAUGGUUAAGUGGGAAACGAUGUGGGAAGGCCCAGACAGCCAGGAUGUUGGCUUAGAAGCAGCCAUCAUUUAAAGAAAGCGUAAUAGCUCACUGGUCGAGUCGGCCUGCGCGGAAGAUGUAACGGGGCUAAACCAUGCACCGAAGCUGCGGCAGCGACGCUGAUGCGUUGUUGGGUAGGGGAGCGUUCUGUAAGCCUGNNNNNNNNNNNNNNNNNNNNNNNNNNNNNNNNNNNNNNNNNNNNNNNNNNNNNNNNNNNNNGAAGGUGUGCUGUGAGGCAUGCUGGAGGUAUCAGAAGUGCGAAUGCUGACAUAAGUAACGAUAAAGCGGGUGAAAAGCCCGCUCGCCGGAAGACCAAGGGUUCCUGUCCAACGUUAAUCGGGGCAGGGUGAGUCGACCCCUAAGGCGAGGCCGAAAGGCGUAGUCGAUGGGAAACAGGUUAAUAUUCCUGUACUUGGUGUUACUGCGAAGGGGGGACGGAGAAGGCUAUGUUGGCCGGGCGACGGUUGUCCCGGUUUAAGCGUGUAGGCUGGUUUUCCAGGCAAAUCCGGAAAAUCAAGGCUGAGGCGUGAUGACGAGGCACUACGGUGCUGAAGCAACAAAUGCCCUGCUUCCAGGAAAAGCCUCUAAGCAUCAGGUAACAUCAAAUCGUACCCCAAACCGACACAGGUGGUCAGGUAGAGAAUACCAAGGCGCUUGAGAGAACUCGGGUGAAGGAACUAGGCAAAAUGGUGCCGUAACUUCGGGAGAAGGCACGCUGAUAUGUAGGUGAAGUCCCUCGCGGAUGGAGCUGAAAUCAGUCGAAGAUACCAGCUGGCUGCAACUGUUUAUUAAAAACACAGCACUGUGCAAACACGAAAGUGGACGUAUACGGUGUGACGCCUGCCCGGUGCCGGAAGGUUAAUUGAUGGGGUUAGCGCAAGCGAAGCUCUUGAUCGAAGCCCCGGUAAACGGCGGCCGUAACUAUAACGGUCCUAAGGUAGCGAAAUUCCUUGUCGGGUAAGUUCCGACCUGCACGAAUGGCGUAAUGAUGGCCAGGCUGUCUCCACCCGAGACUCAGUGAAAUUGAACUCGCUGUGAAGAUGCAGUGUACCCGCGGCAAGACGGAAAGACCCCGUGAACCUUUACUAUAGCUUGACACUGAACAUUGAGCCUUGAUGUGUAGGAUAGGUGGGAGGCUUUGAAGUGUGGACGCCAGUCUGCAUGGAGCCGACCUUGAAAUACCACCCUUUAAUGUUUGAUGUUCUAACGUUGACCCGUAAUCCGGGUUGCGGACAGUGUCUGGUGGGUAGUUUGACUGGGGCGGUCUCCUCCUAAAGAGUAACGGAGGAGCACGAAGGUUGGCUAAUCCUGGUCGGACAUCAGGAGGUUAGUGCAAUGGCAUAAGCCAGCUUGACUGCGAGCGUGACGGCGCGAGCAGGUGCGAAAGCAGGUCAUAGUGAUCCGGUGGUUCUGAAUGGAAGGGCCAUCGCUCAACGGAUAAAAGGUACUCCGGGGAUAACAGGCUGAUACCGCCCAAGAGUUCAUAUCGACGGCGGUGUUUGGCACCUCGAUGUCGGCUCAUCACAUCCUGGGGCUGAAGUAGGUCCCAAGGGUAUGGCUGUUCGCCAUUUAAAGUGGUACGCGAGCUGGGUUUAGAACGUCGUGAGACAGUUCGGUCCCUAUCUGCCGUGGGCGCUGGAGAACUGAGGGGGGCUGCUCCUAGUACGAGAGGACCGGAGUGGACGCAUCACUGGUGUUCGGGUUGUCAUGCCAAUGGCACUGCCCGGUAGCUAAAUGCGGAAGAGAUAAGUGCUGAAAGCAUCUAAGCACGAAACUUGCCCCGAGAUGAGUUCUCCCUGACUCCUUGAGAGUCCUGAAGGAACGUUGAAGACGACGACGUUGAUAGGCCGGGUGUGUAAGCGCAGCGAUGCGUUGAGCUAACCGGUACUAAUGAACCGUGAGGCUUAACCUU